rnacentral:miRNA from 1 species
AUGUGGUGUGUGUGUGUGUGUGUACAUGUACAUGUAUAUAUAUAUGUUCAUAUGUUAAAUAUAUAUAUACAUAUAUGUGCAUAUAUAGGCAUAUAUAUGCAUAGCAAUUUUUGAUGC